rnacentral:rRNA from 1 species
GAUGAACGCUGGCGGCGUGCCUAAUACAUGCAAGUCGAGCGAACAGAUGAGGAGCUUGCUCCUCUGACGUUAGCGGCGGACGGGUGAGUAACACGUGGAUAACCUACCUAUAAGACUGGGAUAACUUCGGGAAACCGGAGCUAAUACCGGAUAAUAUAUUGAACCGCAUGGUUCAAUAGUGAAAGACGGUUUUGCUGUCACUUAUAGAUGGAUCCGCGCCGCAUUAGCUAGUUGGUAAGGUAACGGCUUACCAAGGCAACGAUGCGUAGCCGACCUGCGAGGGUGAUCGGCCACAUUGGAACUGAGACACGGUCAAGACUCCUACGGGAGGCAGCAGUAGGGAAUCUUCCGCAAUGGGCGAAAGCCUGACGGAGCAACGCCGCGUGAGUGAUGAAGGUCUUCGGAUCGUAAAACUCUGUUAUUAGGGAAGAACAAAUGUGUAAGUAACUAUGCACGUCUUGACGGUACCUAAUCAGAAAGCCACGGCUAACUACGUG